CCAAUAGCGUAUAUUAAAGUUGUUGCGGUUAAAAAGCUCGUAGUUGAAUUUCGGGAUCAGUAGGUCGGUCGUGCCACUGGUAUGAACUGGUCUCACUGGUUCCUCCCUCUUGACGAACUGCAAUGCUAUUAAUUUAGUGUUGUAGGAAAUCAGGACUGUUACUUUGAAAAAAUUAGAGUGUUUAAAGCAGGCUUUGGCUUGAAUACAUUAGCAUGGAAUAAUGAAAUAGGACGUUCGAUCCUAUUUUGUUGGCUUCUAGGAUUGACGUAAUGAUUAAUAGGGACAGUUGGGGGCAUUAGUAUUCAAUUGUCAGAGGUGAAAUUCUUGGAUUUAUUGAAGACUAACUACUGCGAAAGCAUUUGCCAAGGAUGUUUUCAUUAAUCAAGAACGAAAGUUAGGGGAUCGAAGACGAUCAGAUACCGUCGUAGUCUUAACCAUAAACGAUGUCGACCAGCGAUCCGUCGUCGUUAAUUUUAAUGACUCGACGGGCAGCUUCCG
rnacentral:misc_RNA from 1 species